GAUGAACGCUGGCGGCGUGCCUAAUACAUGCAAGUCGAGCGAACAGACGAGGAGCUUGCUCCUUCGACGUUAGCGGCGGACGGGUGAGUAACACGUAGGUAACCUACCUAUAAGACUGGGAUAACUUCGGGAAACCGGAGCUAAUACCGGAUAAUAUUUCGAACCGCAUGGUUCGAUAGUGAAAGAUGGCUUUGCUAUCACUUAUAGAUGGACCUGCGCCGUAUUAGCUAGUUGGUAAGGUAACGGCUUACCAAGGCAACGAUACGUAGCCGACCUGAGAGGGUGAUCGGCCACACUGGAACUGAGACACGGUCCAGACUCCUACGGGAGGCAGCAGUAGGGAAUCUUCCGCAAUGGGCGAAAGCCUGACGGAGCAACGCCGCGUGAGUGAUGAAGGUCUUCGAAUCGUAAAACUCUGUUAUUAGGGAAGAACAAACGUGUAAGUAACUGUGCACGUCUUGACGGUACCUAAUCAGAAAGCCACGGCUAACUACGUG
rnacentral:rRNA from 1 species